CAGAGAAUGUGUGUGUAUUAGGAUAUAAGCACUUAUUUUCAUCCAAAAACUUUUUAACAGUGCUGUUUUGCAUGUGAAUUUCAACUAAUGGCAGAAAAUGUGGGACCAAUGAAUGUGGAGAGCUAUGUGAAAAUCAAAAGGAUGAUGCCUAAUGACCACAAAAUAUAAUCCUGUUAAGUGUUGUGCAAUUAAAUCACCAGGACGAGAAGAGAUCCCCAAAUAAACAAUGGAGACGAACAUAUAUAAAGGACAUAGCAAGGUAAAGCUUGAAAGGAAUGUAUCUCUAAGAGCAAAUUGGGAAGGAGAAGCAGCCAUACACAGAAAGUAAAUGGUGGAAAUGAGGGAGAAUAAGUGUACCAUAAACGAAUAGAAUCCAAAAAUUUUGUGAACAGCAUUGGCGGAUGGAGUGACAGUCAAUUGCGACACCUCUGUCUGUUGUUAUAGAACCA